GACGAACGCUGGCGGCGUGCUUAACACAUGCAAGUCGAACGGAAAGGCCCUGCUUUUGUGGGGUGCUCGAGUGGCGAACGGGUGAGUAACACGUGAGUAACCUGCCCUUGACUUUGGGGUAACUUCAGGAAACUGGGGCUAAUACCGUAUAGGAUCUCCUGCUGCAUGGUGGGGGUUGGAAAGUUUCGGCGGUUGGGGAUGGACUCGCGGGUUAUCAGCUUGUUGGUUGGGUAGUUGCUUACCCAGCCUUUGAAGGGUCGGCGACCUGCGAGGGUGACCGGCCACAAGAGGACUGAGGUAGGCACCAGAGUCCAACGGGAGGCAGCGGGGGGAAAUAUUGCACAAUGGGCGGAAGCCUGAUGCAGCAACGCCGCGUGCGGAAUGACGGCCUGCGGGUUGUAAACAGCUUUCGCCUGUGACGAAGCGGGAGUGACGGUAAUGAGUAAAGAAGCACCGGCUAACUACGUG
rnacentral:rRNA from 1 species